rnacentral:misc_RNA from 1 species
GCCAGCGCCAAUACCAACAGCCAAAUCAAUAGUGUAAUGGCCCCUAGUGCUUAGUAACCUCACAACUUGCAAUACAUUCAAUGCGUCAAAUACUCUAGCCAUUUCCCAUCUCUGCAUACGUUUCAUAUCCAGCGAAGCAAUCACCGAGGCCGCAACAUGCCCUGAAUAAAACAAGAAAAACGACACAUUCCCUACUGGGAAAUCCACCCCUGACCCCAAGAAAUCCUCCGGCAACGGCAAUUGUGUAGCAUACCCGAGAAUCCCUCUGAAUGUGAACAUAAACAGCGCCGAUAUUGUCGCUCGAGGCCGUCCUUCAAUUAGAAAAGUCCCCAAAAUGUACGCCGUUUGCAUCGCCACAAACACCGUGUUUAGGCCAGCAAAGAGAGUGUUGAGAGCGGGUUUAGCAGCAAGCAAUCGAUUAAGAGGAACUGUAACAAUAAAUCCGAGAUCGAAAGGCGGAGCAGAAGCUGGAAUCAUAUGAAGCGUAUAUUCCACUCCCAUGAAAAACAACAGUGAAGCAGCGAAGAUACACGGUAUUGGAUGGUACUUCACUACACCGAAUACAUCCUCCAUCCUCCACUUCAUGAAAUACGCAUUACCUAACCACCAUCCAUAACCACCAACCUCCGUUCCCGUUGCCGAUGCCGAUUUCUUCUUCAUUUCUGUAACGUCAACUUUCCUUUCAGUGGUAUUCCUUUUGCUGAGAGUAGAGGAAGAACUAUUCCGACUAUGAAAUGUGUCUCCGUUCAUUGUCGCCGGAAACGGAGA